rnacentral:rRNA from 1 species
GAUGAACGCUGGCGGCGUGCUUAACACAUGCAAGUCGGACGGGCACAUCUUUCGGGGUGUGUGAGUGGCAGACGGGUGCGUAACACGUAGGUGACCUGCCCUGGAGUGGGGAAUAACUGCCCUAACGGGUGGCUAAUACCGCAUAUGCCCACCGGGUCAGACCGGUGCGUAAAGCCUUUGGGCGCUUUGGGAUGGGCCUGCGGCGGAUUAGGUAGUUGGUGGGGUAACGGCCUACCAAGCCGAUGAUCCGUAGGGGCGUGAGAGCGUGGCCCCCCACACUGGCACUGAGACACGGGCCAGACACCUACGGGAGGCAG